CAAAUGCCAGGAUGCCAAUUGUGUUCCUCUAGGCUUCAGAAGGAGCGCAAGUGGCGCCCUGCCGUUUGUUUGGGGCUGCGUGCGUGUGCGUGCUCCAACAACUGCCCUUUCCUCUCCUCCUGGCCCUGGCAAAGCCAGGAGGAGCGCAAGUGCUGCCCCUAAACUUUUUCGGGGCCUGAGGGGGAGGAGCCAAAAAGCCCUGGAGGAGAGGAAGGGAGGGAGGAGAGGCUGCAUCAGGCUGCAUCCACACUGAAGAAAUAACCAGAGCAAAAGGGUGCAGAAGAAAUUGGUGGCUGCCUUCUUACCCUACUUCCAUUUUGUCUCUUGAUUCUUCACUGGACAUGAAGAGAUGACAGCUCAUUUUAACUGAUAUUUAUGGAGGCUGGCUCACUGCCGUAACAUCUGCACCAAGCUUUCCUUGAAACUAUCUUUAUUCUUUCCAUGUUAUUUCUGCAACUGGUGCCAACUUUUCUGCCCAGGAGCACAUCUACUUCAUUAAUGGAGGUAUACUUGUAUGUCAUCUAAAAACAGAACAGAUGUAAUCCUCUUCCAGAAUGUGAAGUCAAAGGCUUUCAUGGCUGGCAUCCAUAUUUUGGUUUAUCCUGGCAAGAUUUCUUCAGAGAGGGCUUGCUUUUGUCAUCUUCAGAUGCUGAGAGGAUGUGACUUCCCCAAGGUCACCCAGUUGGUUUUGAUGGCUGAGAGGGGAUUCAAGCUGGUCUCCAGAGUCCUAGGCUAACACGCAAGCCACUACACGACUGCGCCACACUGGGGAGAUGCAAAUGUUGAGGCUGUUCUGGCCAUAUGUAUGUAUGUACCCAUGCAUGUGCCUUUGAGUUGCCUGACAGCUUAUGGUGACACCAUAGCAUAGGUUUUUUUAGGCAUUGAACAAUGAGAUAGUUU